UAGAGCUCAAUAUAGUGAGUGCUUUAAGGUA
rnacentral:piRNA from 1 species